AGUGAACGCUGGCGGUAGGCCUAACACAUGCAAGUCGAACGGCAGCACAGUAAGAGCUUGCUCUUACGGGUGGCGAGUGGCGGACGGGUGAGGAAUACAUCGGAAUCUACUUUGUCGUGGGGGAUAACGUAUGGAAACUUACGCUAAUACCGCAUACGACCAACGGGUGAAAGCAGGGGAUCUUCGGACCUUGCGCGAUUGAAUGAGCCGAUGUCGGAUUAGCUAGUUGGCGGGGUAAAGGCCCACCAAGGCGACGAUCCGUAGCUGGUCUGAGAGGAUGAUCAGCCACACUGGAACUGAGACACGGUCCAGACUCCUACGGGAGGCAGCAGUGGGGAAUAUUGGACAAUGGGCGCAAGCCUGAUCCAGCCAUACCGCGUGGGUGAAGAAGGCCUUCGGGUUGUAAAGCCCUUUUGUUGGGAAAGAAAAGCAGCAGGUUAAUACCUCGGUGUUCUGACGGUACCCAAAGAAUAAGCACCGGCUAACUUCGUG
rnacentral:rRNA from 1 species